rnacentral:rRNA from 1 species
CCAACAGGGAUUGCCUUAGUAACGGCGAGUGAAGCGGCAAAAGCUCAAAUUUGAAAUCUAAUGCCUCUGGUGUUCGAGUUGUAAUUUGGAGAGGCAUCUUCCGGAGUGGCCCAGCCUAUGUACCUUGGAACAGGACGUCAUAGAGGGUGAGAAUCCCGUUCUUGGCUGGAUGUUCACUCCCGUAUGUAGUGUCUUCUACGAGUCGAGUUGUUUGGGAAUGCAGCUCAAAAUGGGUGGUAAAUUUCAUCUAAAGCUAAAUAUUGGCGAGAGACCGAUAGCGCACAAGUAGAGUGAUCGAAAGAUGAAAAGCACUUUGAAAAUAGAGUCAAACAGUACGUGAAAUUGUUGAAAGGGAAGCGCUUGAGACCAGAGUCAGCCUUUGGCAAACAACUGUCCUUCUGGGCGGUGCACUUGUCAUUGGUUGGGCCAGCAUCGGUUGGGACGGUGGGAUAAAGGCUUGGGAAAUGUGACUCCUUUAUGGAGUGUUAUAGUCCCAGGUGGCAU